rnacentral:rRNA from 1 species
UAACCUGCCCAAGAGACUGGGAUAACACCUGGAAACAGAUGCUAAUACCGGAUAACAACACUAGACGAAUGUCUAGAGUUUAAAAGAUGGUUCUGCUAUCACUCUUGGAUGGACCUGCGGUGCAUUAGCUAGUUGGUAAGGUAACGGCUUACCAAGGCAAUGAUGCAUAGCCGAGUUGAGAGACUGAUCGGCCACAUUGGGACUGAGACACGGCUCAAACUCCUACGGAAGGCAGCAG